GUAGAAAUAAGCAGGUGGUUUUAAUGUUAUGGCUGAUCGGUGUAGGCUGCAAUAAUAUAAAAAACUGUUUUGAUCAUUAACAUGUAUCUAGCCCAUGCUUUAUAUUGUAUGUGUUCAUGUGUGUGUGUACCAGGACUUGUUGAUGAAGUACAUGCAGAGCGGGUAGGCUGGCAGCUCCACCAGGCCGUACAUGGCUACAGUGAGGUAGCGACUGCCUUUAUCAUCGCUCGCGUUCAUCAACAGGAAGAGCAGGACGCCAGGGCAGUUUGCAGCUGUUGCCAGGUUUCUCCAGGGCCGGAUGUAGUACCCGAGAACGGCGAACAGAGCGAUGCCCACAGCGAAGGUCAUGUUGAAAGCAUGACAUUAUCGGUACCAGAGAGAAAGAUGGGUUUCCUGCCGAUCUUAUCUGAGAGCGGGCCGAACAGGAUGUUCCCCAGCAGCACGCCGGCAAAGAACAGCGACCCUGCCAGGUUGACUUUGUAGGCCUGCUGCUUCACCAGGUUAAGGAUUGAAGUCGAGACUGCAGUGCCAAACGAUGCUGCUCCUGCCGGAUGUGACGGGUCUGGAGUAAUUGCACCAAGAAUGACAAGAACUCACUACAGACUUUAUUGAACAACUCUAUUAUUAUUUAUUUAUUUUCUGCCAGUUAUAACUUUUAGUUCAUUUAAUUCUGUGUUUGUAUGAUUUGUAUAAAUCGUGUAUUUAUUUAAAGUUUCCUCCAGACCACCCAAGAAGGAUGGGCCCUGCUGAGUCUGGUUCCUCUCUGGGUUUCUAACUGUAAUUUUCAGGGAGUUUUUCCUUGCCACAGUCGCCCUCGGCUUGCUCAACAGGGUUUUUUGUAUCUGUUGGUCCUGGAUUUUUUAAAGUUGCGUUGAGACAAUGUCUAUUGUAAAAAGCGCUAUAUAAAUAAAGUUGACUUGACACUCGCACACACAACCAA